ACGAUACCCAAUUAAUGCGUAAACGCUAUCCCGUCAACCCCUUGACUCCUCUGCGUACGCUCGUAUACUCGCUGUGCCUAUCGCGCUGUUUAAACGAGAAGCCCCAUAACUAGAACCGGAUUAGAACAUUUGUCGAGUUUCACUUCGCGCGCUCGAAACUUUUAACGCGCGCGCCUGCGUGUGGCCAGACGACACAAGCGGGAGAGUCGUGGAUCGGCUCAGCCUUUAAAUGAGUCGUGUCCGGUGCGCGGUGUUGUCAACAUUGUUAUUUGGGGAUACAAAGGCGACCGGGCGUGGAUCUGGCCACACUAUGGCCUCGUGCGCGCCGCUCUGGCCAUAAUCAAUGCUCGUUAGCAGCGUUUACGCUAAUUAUCUGCGAGGUUUGUUUUUCCUUCGGGGGGGGGGGGUCUUUGAAUGUGUUCAUGCGUCCUCGUGCGUGUACUCGCGUUUUGUAACGCAGCAUUUCAUUUUAGUAGAGUUCCGUAAAAAAAUGAAUCAGUCCAACAUUAACCUCGUCUCAAUAGUUUCGAGGGAUAUGCAGAAUGGGAAGCUGGACGCGGGAGGCGAUAUCUUUGUAUUUUUCGUCUUUGUCCCGUGUACAUUUUGCACCAUAGAGGGCGCAUAUACAAGCCAGACACAAGCAGAACAUCGCCUAUGUGCGUGCACACAUUGCAGCCUGACUCUUGUGCACACUAUAGCCUCAACUCCCACGAACCCCAACCCAACUAUUUUUUUUUUUUUACAAAAUAGAACACGACAAAAAUAUAACGGCGUGGCGGUUCCUCGCUCGCAUUUUCUGCCAGAGGCGUCUGCUUGACCGGAAGGCUUUAUAUCAAACAAGAGGGGAGGAAAAAUGAUGGCUCUGUCAACAUCCUUGGAGGGGUGCGGGGGGUUAGCGGAGCGCUGGUCAGGGCCAGAACCAUUCGUCCCGCGUCUCGGAUCGACUCUGACUGAGACCGAGAGAGAGAGACCGAGAGAGACCGAGAGAGAGAGAGCCCUAUACCAUUCACGCAUCGCGCAAUAAGCCGCGGAUUUGUUUCCCGGGAUCGCUGCACGAGGGCGCGCGCACACGCACGCGCGCGGCGCACACGCGUAGCGGACAACCCUACAUCCAUCGGAUGCGAUGCCUUAUAUAUACAGUAUAUAUACAGUAUAUAUACAGUGUGUGUUCCUUUAUAUACUCACGGGGUAUGACAUGGUUAGCAAAGCUAGAGAUAACGGCUUCGGUUAAAUUCUGCGUCUUUAACAUCGACGUUACGUUAACGCUGCGCUGUGUUUUAUAUAUAUAUAUUUUUGUAUAAUCAUAAUAUUUCUCUCCCCCCCCCCCUUCAUCCCUCCCCUCUCUUGUUCUCUCACUCUCGCGUCCCUGUGGACCCUGCGCUCGACGCGCGCUCUUCGCCGCGUGCAUCUCUCUGCGAGAUAAGCCCUAGAGCGUCGGCGCGUUGCGCCGACGCAUUUCGCUUUUAAUUUGUGUAUUUAUGAUCAAAUAUCGGCCGUCGCGUUCGCGCGCGGCACGCCAUACAUCACUGUCUCGUUCGCCUAGGCCGCGUCUUUAUUCCGAGCCCAGCUUUAGCGCCGCCGGCCACUGAUUUCUUAAUUUCAGUCCGAACAGAAGCGAACGUCCGGCGAGCGCGAGGAAAGACGCGAAGCCGAUCGAGUGAAACUCGACGUCGCGACCACGGCCACGUCGGAGCACUUGACCCCAACUGUCUGCGUGAAGCAUGGCUGCUCGCCGAUCACGCACACACGAAGGCACGAAGACACGCACGCACGAAGACACGCACGCGCGCGGCCCUGCUUUGUGACCUCAUUUUCCGCCAUUAAUACACAUCCCGGCCUCUCUGCUGGUGACUUAAUCUGGAAUGUCCCGUUCGCUCAACUGCAGCGUCCCACGCUCGCCGCGCAAGGCAAAGGGCAGCGGGGCUUGGCGUGGCGUGGCGUGGCAGAUGUACGGUCGGUCGGGGCCCAGGUCCCACAGAAUCCGGAGCGAGGCUGACAUCUACUGACGGCAGAAUUCCGGCGGCUCUCUCUCUCCUCUCUCUCUCUCUCGCUGGGCGGUUUGAAAUAAGUAAAGAAACCGACGCGUGGACCGGACACAAAGGGUCCGCGAACUCGAUGGUUCCCACGUAAAAGUGACGCGUUAAAAUCGUCCCGUAAAACAUAGAUUAUUAUUAAUCUCUUACGAUUAUAUGAAAAAUUUAAGUUUAAUUGUUAAAGGGCUCGUGCUCUGUAAGGAGUUUUGAAAUAAACUAAUAUAUCACUUUGUUUGUUUGUUCUCCGAUUUAUGUUUUGGUAUUCUCGUCCUGUGGAUUCACUCCUCAGUCUGGCGUCUAUUUAUAUAUCCUAUACAGAAUUAUAUAAUAUGUACCCUAGGAUUUGAGUAUAACUAAGUGUGUUUGUGUUAUUGCACGUGCAUGCAUUCAAGCACAUGCACCUUUGGUUUUGGUGUCGCAAAAUUUGCAAAAUACACGUCAACUUCCAAAUCAGUUGUGUGAAUACCAAGUCAUUCCAUAUCACUGAAGUGCAGAUAGACGCAAAUAUAUAAAUGCACAACCGCGUGUGUUCUGAGUGUGUGUGUGUGGCUGCAUAGACAUAUAGAAAAAUAUAAAUUACUCGCAAGCAAUUCACAUUUGACAGAAGAGCUCUUUCUGCUUGUGAUAUAUGGGACCAAUUAUGGUUUUACCAGCCCCCUAUGUACACAGAUUAAUUGCUAAUUGCCAACAGCUGUUAUAUUGACAGUUCAUAUAACCGCGGGUAGGCUAAUAAAGCUGAGCAGAUCACGUUGUUAUGCCUGCCACACUGAACAAUUAGACAAUGCAUUGUAUUUGUAACCCAUUCCUAGCCUUUGCUUAAUCAACUUCAUUAAACCUGAUGACGAUUUAAAUGAGCCACAGCAAUGAGCUCCCCCAUGAAAUUCAUACCCAGCGAUCUGUUACUCAUAAUACUAAUGUACAACCCUUGUCAAUCCCUUGCUCCUAUGCCCAUUCAACAAAUUGAACUGCCACCAUCCUAUUUCAUUUAUUGGUGGUGAUAUCCAAUUUAGUUUAAUAUCGGCGUUCGGCAACAAUGCAAUUGUCUGCAACUGCUUUAAAAGCGGUUUGUGGAACUGAACUACGUAAAGUAAAAGUCAUUGAGUGAGCGAGAGCAUCUCUCCUCAACACGAGCACAUCUGUUGCCGUGAUCCGCCUCGUCCAAAGUUAUUCACAAUCUACUGCUGGAUGACAGCAUCGUCCUUUCGGUCAACAUGUUGAUUGGCGCAGGGUGGUGAAGUGGGGAGCCCAGGACCGGUUCAGACAAAACUUCGCCAGGAAUGUCAGCCUGUCGCCGGGAAUUAAACUCAAGUCGCCAGGUUCAUAGUGCAGGGCGCUAAACACUGCAUCAUCGCUCCGUAUUAAUGCAACGCGAUACAUAAGUGCCGUGUGUUUAUUGACAAUUCAAAAAAUUACUAAAAAAAAUCUGGAAAUGUAUUGCUGUGGAUCUCUGAAUAAUAACAAGUCGUAGUUUAUAUUGUCCUACUGGAAUGUAGACAAGUCUGGGAUAUAUAUAUUUUUUAAUUUCUGAUCGCCAAGUGGCGCGCGUGUGUUUGUGUUGUUGUUGUUGUAAUGACUCUUGCAGUCGUCACGCAAUCCUAAAGCCAUUGCGAGGUGAACUUUUCACCCUCAACCCCGAAGGAACAAAUCAGAGGGAGGAAAGAGAAAAAAAAUACACACAUUCAUCUUACAGAAUCGACCACUGGUGUUUAGCACACGGACAACUUUCACAAAACUUCAACAAAACCCAUCGCCGCGAUCGGAGACUGCGAUAGUCUCCGCCUCUCGUAACAACAAAGCCUACGCAAUCUUCGAAAACAUUUCCGCGGAAUCCCGCAGAAAUUCCAAUAAGAUCUUUUAAGGGUUCCCCCGAGGCACUGCUGGGAUUUGUUUCAAUGUCCUGCGGAAUCCCCCGUAGGAUUUGCUUAAAUAGGAUGUCCUCGCGGACACCUUUAGAGGUUAUGAGUGCAUUCCCGGCGAAUGCUGUAAAACAGUUGAUGCCACACGGGAGCGUGUCGGGCGCACGAUGCGGGGAUUAGGCGUUUAAUGCUUUCUCCACAUCCAGCUCACGGGCAGUGCAUAGAUAGGUUUACGGUGGUCAUUUGCACGCCUCCGAUGCAGGGACGGCUGUAAUGGAUUGCCGUGGAUUUAGGAUGAUGGCGGUGCAUGCCCUCGGCUGUGGUCAUCCGGCGCAAAACCGAUAAAUGUGUGCGGCACACACCUCACACGCCUCACGCACGCGUCCACACACGCACGCACGCGUCCACACACGCACAUGUAUGCACGCGCGCACAUGCCGAGAUUUUACAUAUAAAGGCUAUCUGAUCCCAUUCGGCUUGUAUGAAGAUGCAUUACUCGCAAAUUGCACAGUUUCAGGGUGUGCCGUGUGAACAUUUUUUUGAAAGACCUUUUGCAAGGAACGGCUUCUUUGCUUUUUUUUCUCUCACGAUGUGCUGCUGCUUUAUUGUAAAUGUUUUAAGGGCGAAUAAACCGAUUGCCUUCAUGUCUUGUGUUUGGAGCCAUUUAUAGCUUCAGUAUCAAUGUAACAGUCGUCCGUUUCAACGUAAAACACAUUUGGCUCCAAUGUGAAGUCAAAUGCUGGAACAAUGAUAUACAAGAUCUCUGUCGAUCCACUGCCGGACGAAGGACUUGCCGCGUGCCACGUGGGUCACGGGAGUCGCUUGCCCACGUGUCACCACGGCUGGGUGAGGAAGAGGCAAGGCCCAGGACCGGUUCAGAUAUCGCUCGCCACUGGUGCUACCCCAGGGCUGCUCAGAUCAGCGCACUUCGUAGCGUGCGGCACGCUUGCGGCUGCGCCACCACGCCGCCAAAGUCGCGUCGUGUUAUUUGAGAAACAAAACAAAUGUGGCCACGUUCUGUCUUCAAACAAGAAUAUAUUCAUACCACGAAAACGCAGUACGUACAUACAGUUCAGAAAAUUAUUUUUCUUUUAGCAACAUAACAUGACAGUGGAUAUUCUGUAAGAGCAAAUACAUUCAUGGGCUUUGCCUAAAAGCUACGGCACUAUUCCUUAUUAAUGCAGUUUGCGCUUAGGCUGUAAGCGAGUGUGAUUACUGGUGAAAAUUAAUCUAAGCAACUAAUUGGCCACAACUGACCUGGCUGACUAAAUUAUACAGCCCUACCCACCGCACACCGCCCCUGCCGCUCUCUCUGUAUUGUUUUUGUUAAUACAGAAUGAUUGCAUUUUAAACGAGUGCAUUAUUUGAAAUUCAUCUCUCUUUGUGAAAUCAAAGGGCUCUAACGGGAUAAAAGUUGUGUUAAAUGACUGACUUGGGCCGAGGACAGAAAAAAAACCCUCAGGAUCAUAGGAGCAUGGAAAUUGUAAUUUCAGAGCUGUUUAUUUUAUGUGAAACAUUUCAACUUCAAAAAAAUCCCACUUUAGAAACUUUCCUUUCGCACUAAUGAUGUGUGAUGUGUUUAAUGUAUAUAUAUAUUUUUUAAAACGUACAUUACAUUGAUUAGGCGUCAAAUGUUAAGUAAACA